CAAAAAAAAAAAAAGUUUUGAGGGUUGUUUUCUUUUUUCAAUUGAAGAAACUUAUUUUAUUUUUUGAUUCAUAUAACAUAUGAAUGUAAUGAUAAAUGGGUGACUAUGGGUCAGCGAAAAGCAAAUCUGUUCUUGUGUGGCCCCAGCUACUGCCUUCGGUUUCCCCUACUUGUAAGGAAAGCUUUGGAAAGUUGUAAGGAACGAAAGUUAUUCUAUUUCUAUGGAAAAGGCAGUGCAAAGUCCAGUGUUUUCAACAUUUUCAUUAACUUUGAAAGAAGAGCUAGCUUAAUGUAGAUGCCUGGUUUUAGGUAGCCAAAUAUUUUAGCAAUUCCAAAUAUUUUUAGGACACUGGCAUCCCUUGGCCUUCUCUGCAGCUUCUUUCACCAGAAACCUGCGUUAGCAGUGGCAGCACUGAGUGGCCAGAGCUGGAGCUUUCCUCGUGAGACAGCCAAGCAGGAGCCCCAGCGCUGGUCAUCAGAUGUGGUGGCAGAAGAGGUCUCUGCACAGCUCGGUCUUAAUCCAUGAAGGUCGAACAGGUUUAACCCACCAACAGCUUAACUGUAGGAGCUGCUCUUCUGUACGUCCCGACAGCCUUCAUUACGAGAUGCAGGAGCUGGACAGCAAGAAGUUUUUCAGCAGUGAAGCAGACUCAGAAUUCGCUAUGAAGAUGAUUAAUCCAGCUUACUGAAUCAUGCACUGAGACGAGCCAGAAGGAAGGAAAAUGGCAGAAAAGGAAAUUAUGCAACCUGAUUAGCAAACAAGUUAGCCGAGAAGUUACCCACCGAGGUUUCAGCUCAAAGACACAAGGCUUCCCAGUGCCUAACGCAGCACAGGAGUCCGCAGGCCUGGCAGUGGACAUUUUGCCUUUGCUGAUCUGCAGGGAGCCACCUGCCCAGUCUCCCCAAACACCUCCAUCAAUCUGCCACACGGCCAAACUGCCAAUUACCACUUAUUUUCUCUGUGGCAGGUGGCGGUAGCCAGGUGACAGGGAUGGGAGGCCUCCACAGCAUCGUUCAUCACCUGUCUUAGGAGAACAUUUCAGUGAGCACACCACAUUAGGUUAAAAAUGUAAAUGUUGCCUUGAGCUGGGUUAAUGAAAUAAAGCCAACCUGAUUUUCCGGCAGUUGGUGUAGAUUGCAUGGUUGGGCAAAGGUGUCUGAGUAGAGUAUUGAUUACAUUGAUUGCACUUCAGAAUUUUCUUGGAAGACUGCUGUCAAAAUAUUGUUCCUCGGGAACUUGAUCCACCUGCCUCAAUUUAUCUUAGCAUAUUUUUAAUGUUCAAACUACUUACUUCCCUCCAUUCUUGCCUUGAGGAUGCUAUACACACACACACCAAUAAUAGCAUUUAGUCGUGCUGAUGGAUGUGCUCCUGUACUUGAACAGUUUUGUGUUUGGGGGUUACUGCUGCAGCCUGGUUGGAGAGGAGACCAGGAGGGCUGAGGGGAUGCUACAAACAGCAUCUUAGUGUGGAGCCAAGAGAUCUGGAACCUGACGUGGCCCUCUGUGUGUCCAACAGGGAUCGGCUCUGUAGGGUGCACUUGAGGGUGGUCUCCAAGGACUUCACAGCCAAAGCAACACUGAGGAGCCCAGCCUGGCUUGGUGGCUCCCCAUGUGGGGCAACUGCCAGAGGCGGAGGCUGUGCCCUGAGUCCUGCCCCCAACCUUCCUCCCAGUAGUUAAAGAAGACCACAGAACAAAAUGACCCCUCUGUUGCAGGGGAAGGCCCAGGUGUGCACCAGGCAGAGCCCUGUGACACCACAGUGGCCCCCACACAUCGUCCAUCCCUAAGGGUCUGUGUGGCUGCAGUGGCACCAGCUUUGGUCUGUGCUUCCCAGCACCCAGCAAGGAGAGAGUGGGGGCUGACAGCAUUCAAAUAGAAAUUAGAGAGCCAAAAAAUAUGUGUAAGCAAACUUCAACCUGACCACUGCUUCUAGAGGAAGGUCCAGUGGCAUGUGUAAGAUUAAAGGACUUACGAGUUCAUAUAGCACCAACAUUUCUGUUGUCUAAAUUAGCUGUUGGACUAUAAUGGUAUUUGCAGGCUUACAUAUAGAAUAUAUUUGUCUUUUCUUAUUCACCUUGUAUGUGCUAGUCACUGGUCAUUGGUGUGAAGCUCCUGCUUUGUUGCACUUCUUUUGCAGGAAGAAAAAUCCAUUGAUCGUAUGUUGGCUCUGAGUGAACACAACUUUGUGGAAAACAGUUUUCCUGUCAGACUGUGUUUGUGUCCCAAAACCCACUUACAGGUUUUUAACACAUUUCCCGUUGUUAUGUCACGUAAAUGACAAGUGAAGCACGUUGGUUUUAUGCCCUUUAAUGGUUUAUCUUUAUUUUCAUCUUUGCAGUGUCUGUACGUGGUGUUCCUGGCCUGGCUCUUACAUCCCCCGUGUGGGAGCACAAGUACUGGGAGCAUGCCCUCCGCACACCUUGUACCUGGAAGUACAUCAUUGCCUGGUAUGGCCAAGCUGAGACGGGACCUGUGAGCCUCAUCCUUCUCUGGAAUAAGUCUUUCCAAGACAGGGAGAUAGCUAAGCAGUAGGAAUACUGCUAAGUUAACAUCUGGUGUCUAACAUCAUAGUUCCGACACAAGCUCAAACAUCGACUUUAAAAACAAAACAAAUAAACAUAAACAUAAACUGUGAACCCUACAGCCUGCUGGCUUUGUUCUCUACUUGAUGAAAACAUCAAGCACUCAGCCAAGUCCCUCGGGAAGAUGCUGGGCUCUUGGGAGCUUCCCUGGCAUUAGGGGCCCUGCAGGGAACGCGGCGCUCCGAGCCUGUGCACUGCAGUGCUGACACCCAUGGUGGGGCCGGCAGGGCUGUAGCGGAGGCUGUCUGAGUGCCAUCUUAGCACAAAGCAGAAACAAAGGGUGAGACUGCCAAGCAGUUUUUAUGACCGUGUCCUCGGUGUGAUGCUCAGCCUGAGCGCUGCUGGGCUGCCAUAGCAACUUGUACAGCUCUGGGUGCUGCUCCUCGGGGCUUGCUUCGGCUGCCACUGGCAUGGGUGGAGAUGCUCCUUUUUAAAACCACCCUUGUAUGUCACCAUUGAAAUAAAUGAAGGCAGCAAAAGAAAAAGAAAAAAAUAAAAAUGAAAUAGUUUUCAUUUUCAAACUGUGGGAAAAAAAAAAAAAAAAAAAAAGGAUGAACUUUUAUCUAGUUUAGCCAUGAGGACCUACACAAGAGCCAUGGUCAAGAUUACUGUUAUCCUUGCUGAACUUUGACCAAGCCCUGCUAAAGACAUUUGUAAUCGUUUAGCCUGGUGUCCCGGUGGUGCUCAUCACUUGUGUUGAACAGCACAUCUGUAACCCUGUAUGCCUCCAACUGAGGCUAGGAGUGCCGAAUCCAUGCACAAGCUCCUGCAGCUCUGCCUCCUGCUGCAUGGUCCUGCCCCAGCACAGCCUUCAGCAAGGCAUCUGUACCCUCCGAGGGGUUUGCCCAGCCCUGCCCAGAACAGUAUUGGGAUCAAGCAGAAUGACAAUGUUAAGAAGCAAAGUGAUAAAAGUGAUACAUGUAUAUUUUUAAAGCACAUUUUUGUUUUGAGUAAAAUACAUUGCCAGAGUCACAAGCAAUUACUGCUGGAAUGCCAACAGGUUUGUCCCUCCUUAGAGUACAGAUGCAAAAUUAACUCUCGCAUGUUUUCAACUCUAUACUUAAUGUUUUGACUCAUUCAAGUAAGAAGGAAGAGAGGAAUUUUAAUGUGGCCUAAAGCAAGUGCUCUGGCUGAACUCCUAUCAUCUACAAUUGCUCCGGGUAAUGGUGACACUGGAAAUGAAGUGUUAUUUCUGCAGCCUUUGUGCUUUGCUUCAUUAGACAUUACCUCGCCAAAAAUCAUCCCCACCCCACUUAGCAGAGAUGAGAUGCUGAAGAAUACCUCAGGGAGAACCACUUUUAAACUGUAAUCCUGGAAAUGCUUAUGGCUGAGAUACCCCAGUGAAAAACAUGUAUGACUCACAGAGUUACACAAGCACAUUUAGUUCUGGAAAAGAGCUGUAGCUUUUCCAGAACAUCCACUACAGGUCUUAACAGGCGCUCAAGAGACCUUUCAUGUGUCCAGAAUAUCACGUAAUGUAGUGAAUAAUAAAGGUUCUGUGUAUGCUUCUGAAUAUAUUUAGCAACCAUUUUGUUAGACAAGAAAGGGAUGUUACCAGCAGUCUUAGUUCUCUGCUUCCCUUGGGGCUUGUUUCUUUCUGCAUGGUACCCAUCAUUAAAGGUGGCAAGGAACCCAUCUGCAGAACCUCCUGUCUGCUGCUCAGAUAUGAAGGUUCAAUUUUAUAUUUUUAGGGCUUCACAAUAGUCUGUCUGUCUUAGACAGAUCAUUUAUCUUCCCCCUCUGCCAUGAGAUACAAAAUCGUUAAUGAUUUGGGGACCAAUUUUCAAAAAAACCUAAUGCAGUUACUGCCCUGGUUGACCUCAGCAAGCUCUUCAGGUAUUCAGUACCCUUGAUGAUAAUGCCAGUCAGUGGUAUUACAGCAUAGAAAAAACAUAAUUAUUCAACCAAAUUAAUUCACAGUAAAAUAAUAGACUUCAAAAAAUGUUCAUAGAAGUAAAAAUAUGUUUUGAUUUCUAAUUUUUAUGACUUUAUCAAGUGCCAGAAAGAAACACAGUCUAUUGUCCAGAAAUAAUUUAUUCAUCAACAAUAAAACACUGAAUAGAAAAAAGCCUUGUAAAUAAAACUAUAUAUAUAAUGCUUUAUUUUUUUAUUCAAUACUCCACAAAAAACACUACAGACAGUAACAAAAUAAU